rnacentral:lncRNA from 1 species
AUGAGUGGGAAGCAACGAAUGAGUGAUCAUCAGAAAGGCUUGCUCGUUUCGUACAUGCAACGCCACCCGUAUUUUGCGAAAACAGGUCUUUGUCCCGGGUCUCAAGAUCGCCAAAUGGCCAAAAAAAUGUGGGACAGAGUAACAAACUUACUGAAUUCUGGAGGUCCUGCUCAGAAAUCAAGUUCAGGCUGGAAGCAGACAUGGGCGGACAUGAAAUCUCGAGUAAAAUUAAAAGCAGGGGAAAUACAGCAAGCCCAAAGAACCGGAACGGAGGUUGCACUUCAAGGAUCAUCUGGUCAAGCGGCUCACCUGAAUGAAACCGAAGAAGCAAUCUAUGGUCUCCUAGGUGGAACUGAUUGGAUUGGAGCAACUGAAAAUGGAAUGGGGACACACUUCGUCAGCGUGAGCAAUCUCACUGACGAGCAGUCUCCCACCUCAUCCCUGGACCUCAUGGAUGAUGAAGGAGCUGUGCACCUACCUCGUGUCGACUUUGUCUCAAGACUGGAAACAAACCCAGUCAAGAUUAAUCGUUUCAUCCUCCCGGCAUAUCACAAUCAAACAGGAGAUAGCAAAAACCAAAUGCCCCUCACCAUCACAUAUGAGCAGUUCCAUAGUCAGUCAACAAAAGAAAGCUCCUCUUCCUCAUCAAGGCCACCUUCAGCACCUGCAAGGCUAAUGGAACCAGCAAAGAACGGCUCUUUCUGUUUUACAUCACAAUCUGGCCAAGCGCAGUUUUUUCAGCUGCCACCCUCUACAAGUUCCACACAUUCACCGACUCUCUCUCCGCAAAUGCCAUCAUUUAAUUAUGUGUCCUCAACUCCAUCAUAUAGUAAAAAACAUUCUGUGGAUGAUGACCAAAAGUCUGAUAAUGAUGACAAUGACGACUCAGAUUUUCGGAAACCAACUGGAAAAAAAAAAAGAAAAAUGACCUCAGUUUAUCAAGAAACAACUGAACUGUAUGCAAAUGAAUGUAAAGAAAUGCGAAAUGCCACAAUGCUGGGAAUCGAGGCACUAAAAAGUUUGAAAGAUAGCAUUGAACUGCAAACUGCUGCAAUAAAAGAAAUGACGCACGCAAUUAUGGGACUUUCAGCUGCUGUAACAAAUGGUUCCCUGACACACGCUCCCGUUGGCCUGUCAUGA